rnacentral:rRNA from 1 species
AACCUGGUUGAUCCUGCCAGUAGUCAUAUGCUUGUCUCAAAGAUUAAGCCAUGCAUGUCUAAGUAUAAGCGUUAUACUGUGAAACUGCGAAUGGCUCAUUAAAUCAGCAAUAGUUUUUUUGGUGGUGUUUUACUACAUGGAUAACCGUAGUAAUUCUAGAGCUAAUAACAUGCGUAAAUCCCGACUUCGGAAGGGAC